UCUGGCGCCCUGGUCCUGUCAGC
rnacentral:miRNA from 1 species